AUUGAACGCUGGCGGCAGGCCUAACACAUGCAAGUCGAGCGGAUGAAGGGAGCUUGCUCCUGGAUUCAGCGGCGGACGGGUGAGUAAUGCCUAGGAAUCUGCCUGGUAGUGGGGGAUAACGUCCGGAAACGGGCGCUAAUACCGCAUACGUCCUGAGGGAGAAAGUGGGGGUUCUUCGGACCUCACGCUAUCAGAUGAGCCUAGGUCGUAUUAGCUAGUUGUUGGGGUAAAGGCCUACCAAGGCGACGAUCCGUAACUGGUCUGAGAGGAUGAUCAGUCACACUGGAACUGAGACACGGUCCAGACUCCUACGGGAGGCAGCAGUGGGGAAUAUUGGACAAUGGGCGAAAGCCUGAUCCAGCCAUGCCGCGUGUGUGAAGAAGGUCUUCGGAUUGUAAAGCACUUUAAGUUGGGAGGAAGGGAAGUAAGUUAAUACCUUGCUGUUUUGACGUUACCAACAGAAUAAGCACCGGCUAACUUCGUG
rnacentral:rRNA from 1 species